GAUGAACGCUGGCGGCGUGCCUAAUACAUGCAAGUCGAGCGAAUGGAUUGAGAGCUUGCUCUUCUGAAGUUAGCGGCGGACGGGUGAGUAACACGUGGGUAACCUGCCCAUAAGACUGGGAUAACUCCGUGAAACCGGUGCUAAUACCGGAUAACAUUUUGAACCGCAUGUUUCGAAACUGAACGGCGGCGUCGUCUGUCACUUAUGGUAGGACCCGAGGCGCAUUAGCUAGUUGGUGAGGUAACGGUUCACCAAAGCAACGAUGCGUAGCCGACCUGAGAGGGUGGUCGGCCACACGGGGACUGAGACACGACCCAGAAUCCUGCGGGAGGCAGCAGUAGGGAAUCUUCCGCAAUGGACGAAAGUCUGACGGAGCAACGCCGCGUGAGUGAUGAAGGCUUUCGGGUCGUAAAGCUCUUUAGGUUGGGAAGAAGUGUAUUGGCUGAAUAAUCCAGUACAUUGACGGUACCGACAGAAUAAGCACCGGCAAACUCUGUGCCAGCCGCCGCAGUAA
rnacentral:rRNA from 1 species